UAAACGGCCCUUUUAAGGGCCAAAAGAUGUGCAAAAUCCGAUCGUUU
rfam:Trachymyrmex cornetzi contig29469, whole genome shotgun sequence.